rnacentral:lncRNA from 1 species
UGUUAUCCUCCCUGGCCUUUCUCAACUGUGUGCGAAUACACUGGGGCCAGCUUCGAAGUCUUUUUAACAUUCACUGUGUAAACUCAGCACCAAGCUGGCUUCCCCUGGUUGCUCACAGGCAGGUGGCUGUCCACACCCACUUCUGUGUGGGGGCCUCUGGCGUCACAUUUCACACCCCUGUUCUGUAGGCAUCGGGUUUCAGAUUUGCUGUAUUUGCUUCCGCUGCCACUACCGGUAGAUCAGAAACUGGGGAGGUGUUUCAACACAUGAUUGUUUUGAAUACGGUGACUUCCCCAUCUAUCCCUGCCAUGGGUAACAUCCCAGCAGCCUCUUGAUAGCAGAACAGAGGCCAUUGAGCCUGGCCAAUGAGUGAGUCUCAAAUUCUAAGUUCGUGGGGGAAAUGGUUUCCUGGACUCACUUAGAAGGGUGGUUUGUUCCAGCACCUGAUCAGAACCUGUGGCUCAUCCUCCGCAAAGUGGGCAUGAGGCACCACCAGAAGCUGUGGAGUGGCCAGAAUGAGGCAACAUAUGGAGAGUGUGUGGCACACGGUAAGUGUACACUAAGUGCUCAUUCCCUCUCUUCCUUACAGCCUUGCUGCUGGGGCCACCUUUCGCCCACAUGCAGACUUACUCGCCUGCACCCCCGGCAUGGCCCAAGAACCAGUUCUCUGAGUUCAGCCAGGACUUCCAAGAACCUAGCACAGCCAGGUCAGCUCCACUGUGUAUGAGUCCUGAACCCGACCCUAGGCCCCUGCUCCCUCAGUUGCCAAAGGAAAUGCCUAAUGUUUUCUGAGCACUUGCUACAUGCUGGGCACAGAGCCAGGGAUGC